UUUAAACAAAUGUACGUUUUUUACGGAAAGGGUAGGUACUAGCCUGGGUGCCAUUCCGAACUUAGUCCCGCCCACAACGUUUGAGGUCGGGAAGUUCGGUCUGGCAUUGAUCCAUAGUGGCGCGAGUAUGCUCGCCCAAAAGCUGGCAGGCCAAUCAAAUUGUCAGGGCGGGCUUUAUACGAUGAUGGACAGAUGUUCAACAGUAACGUAAUCAACCACGUCACCAAAGAGCGCUUGGGUUGAAUUCGUUUACAACAACGAUGGCUGCCGCUGGAGAAUUGAGAUGUGUAGAUUCUGCUAUCAGGUCUGUUCUAGAAGAUAUCGACAGCGAAUUGAUUUUAAAAGAGGAACAGAGUAACGGGAUCAAGGCAUUUUUUGACAAGAAAGAUGUUUUUGCCGAAGCAACUGAAAUGGGCAUCACGGCGAUGCAACUCGGCGUGCACAACGAGGUGGAUAUAGCCAGCGGUCGUUGCCAGAUCCUUUUUUGAAGCCCGGAAUCCUGGCUGCUGAACAACAAGUGGAGGGACAUGCUAGGCUCCUAUGUUUUUCAAGCCAACGUAAUGGGCAUCGUCAUGGACGAAGUUCAUCUAACUUACAAAUGGUACACCUGUGCUGGCAUUGACCGCUUCUGCUGAUCGGGAAUCCAGAGCCAGGGUUAUGAAACGGCUUCAGAUGGACAAUCCAAUCAUUUUGGCUCUGAGCCCAAACAGAACAAACAUCAGACUGGGUCUGAUUAAAGUACCUGGCCAUACACUGGAGUGCCUACACUGGAUUGUGAGGGAUGU